rnacentral:tRNA from 2 species
GGGCUGCUAGUGUCAGCGAUAGCACACGUGACUUGCACUCACGUAGGCGGGGUUUGAAUCCCCGGCGGUCCACCA